AUGGUAUCGAGCAAGCUGAGAGAGAGAGAAGGUCGAUAUGUGCAAUGGCUUCAAUUCGACCUACCCCAUGUAACCAACUGCGUUGCCCUCGGGCUGCUGCCUAGCAUCGACGAAUCGUCAUGGGUCCCACGCCACGGAGAGCAGCUAGGCUGGCAGUUCAUGGUUGCUGAAUGGGAAGGACGACGAACAACACCUAGUGCCGCCACAGCCUCCGGGCAGCUGCCGCUGGGAACUCAUUCAAUUCAACAUUACGUUGUGCCAUGUAGGCUACUAAAACGUUCAGCAACAUCGGCAUUUCUUACCAUAUCUGCUUGUUUUCUGAAUUUUUGCUACUAA
rnacentral:rRNA from 1 species